rnacentral:rRNA from 1 species
UGCGCAGGCGGGUUUGUAAGUCAGUGGUGAAAUCCUGCCGCUUAACGGUAGAAUUGCCAUUGAUACUGCGAAUCUUGAGUAUGGUUGAGGUAGGCGGAAUGUGUAGUGUAGCGGUGAAAUGCAUAGAUAUUACACAGAACUCCGAUUGCGAAGGCAGCUUACUAAGCCAUAACUGACGCUGAGGCACGAAAGCGUGGGGAGCGAACAGGAUUAGAUACCCUGGUAGUCC